UAAAGAUUUACCUACAGAAAGGGCCUUCUCUCUUCUGAAAAGAACAGAAUGAUUUCCUGUUGUUUGGGGGAGGUGCACUUCUGAAACGCUCAGAUGAUGAGUUAGUGGAGAAGACAUCAAGUGUGUAAUAAGAAAGGGCUUUUCUUUUCUCUCUUGCACCACCAACCUUUUCUCUGUCAAAGCUUUCUGAAGCUGUCAUUCUCUCAGUUUCCUUUUUGGUCAUGUCCCAGGACUAGAGGGAUGGCUGGGGAGUCUUCUGGCCUCCCAGGUCUCUGCAUGUCCAGAAAAGCUAGGAGCUCAGUGACCAGCUGGUGUGGCAUUGCUGCUUUUAUGGACAGGAGGUUUCAUGUGUGUAGGUCUGAUUUCCAGUUGAGUGUGGACCUGAGGAUCAUGAGGUAUUCAUCUGGGGAGAUGGGAGAAGCAAGCAUCUGGAUAGAACAACAAGAAGCUGUUCUAGGAAAGUGGUGCAUGUGUCCAUGUUGCACAUAUCCACUUGUGGGUGACACUGUGGAAGAGGUGCUGGGGCUGCCUGGGCUCAAAUAAGGCUAGUUUGUCCUCUUCUCUCUGUGUUACUUCACAGCUGGCAGGCUACUGGCGUCAGGAAAUAGUCUAGUAACAGGGUCUUCCCAGCUUUCUGAGCUCACAUUUUUCUCUCCCUAUAUAUCAGUGUAGCAGAGAGGCACAAAGCAGCUCCUUCAGCAUGGUCAGUCAUAUACAGUGUUUUGUCUGUGCUUCUGGGAGCUCCAUGCAUUGAAGGCAUCAGAGCCAACAUCUCUACUUACCAUAGGCCCAUUCCAUGUCACACUCUUCCCAUACUCACUUCUGAAGGUGAGUUUUGCUUUCGUUAUUCCACAAGAUAGUUUUUUUUCUGCUCAGAUUUAAGCCUAUAACUUUGUAUAAAAAUCAAUCUUAAGUGCAAAAGGGAUUAUCUCCUCUGAAAGAGAGAAGAGCAAAACCCAAGCCGAAACAGUAAAUUAAAGCUUGUCACAUAGAAGAGUCAAAGGAAUUUGUAAAUCAUCUGACAUUAGGUGCUAAGAACUGCAGGCUAUGUCCCUGCUUAAUCAGCUGCCAUGCAGAGAUUUUCAGAUAGUUUUCUCUGUGCCCUGUAGCCAAGUACAUGCAACUGCACCAGCUCAGCUGCAGCCACAUGUGCUAGCAUGAUGUCUAGUGCUGGUGAAUAAAGUUAACUGUGACUUUAGCUGUGCUGGCCAGGACACAGUGCUUGACCAGACUCACAUCUAGGCAUUCAGUGUGGGGUAUCUGCAUGGGGCUUGCAGCAGGAGUUAGUUUUGAUGUGCCAGCACCUGGCAGUGCAGAUAUGCCAAAAAAGAAACUGGCUUUGCAACCAUGACAGAUUCCUACUAGCAAGCAGAAGAUUCUCCACAGUGAUAUUUCAAGUGUCAACAGCUUUGCAAAUGAAGUAUAUUAAGGAUCUACCUCAGUUAUGUUUUUUAAGACUAGAUUAAAAAGCAAGCUACCACAGACACAUAAUUUCAAGGAUUAUCAUGCAAAGAUAGAGGUAGAAUUGAAGUGUCUUUUGUUCUCUUUCACCUACUGUUUAUCAAAAGAGAUAAUAUCUCUUGAUCUGUUAUGGGGGAAUUGAUGUAACUUUUUCUUUCGUAGCACAAAAGACCAAUUUUGCUACCUCCUCUUCACUAAAGCUGUCAUUUUACAGCUUACCUCCCCAUGGAAGGACCUUGAACUGGGCUGUGUAUGGGAAUUGUUGAAUCACGGCCUGAACCUCUGAUUGACCACCUGAGAUGGAUGUACAGAACUUUGAAAGUCAAGAAGAACAGAGCAAAGCACCCACCUGCCCAGCCUCCCACCAGUAAUCCUUGCUGAUGCAACUGGGAAUGUGAGUGAUUUGUUUUUCUUCACAUAUCCCUCAGCUCCAGCAAGACCUGGAAUUAAAUUUUAGUACCACGCCUGUAUAUGUUUUAAUUAAUACAUCCAGAGGGGCUGGGUGCUUUGAACGACUGGGCUCUCAGAAAGGUGAUCUGUCUUUAGGCAAAUCUCUUCAACGUUUCACCUGAACUAUAGUUUAUACAUCAGGAAAACAGGGAUAGUAGCUUCAUAGAUCAUAGUGUAAGUUUUAGGAGGUCUUUGCUGGAUGUUCUGUUGCUUGCAUAUGCUGUGUAAAGUAUUGUUACCUGGAAUUUUCAUGCAGCUAUCUAGUUACUGAAUAUGAGAUUCUUUUAUUUUUAAUGUAUCAAUGAAAUCACGGCCACAAUUUCUAUACAUUAAUAAGUAAGCAUUUCAAACAAUGCCAAUUUGUAAGGAAAAAUAGUAGUUAUAUAUACACACACAUAGAAGACAAGUGAUGGACAAAGCAAUUUCUCC
ensembl:lncRNA